rnacentral:lncRNA from 1 species
GUUAAGCUAAUUUCUCUGGGUUUAUAUACUUCUUCAUCUUAAGGUACUUCUUUUCUUUUUUAUUGUUUUUUUAUGUUUUUGUCUGCUUUUCUUCUCUAUCUCUAUUUUAUAAGACCUAUAUCUAGCUUAUAGUUUCCAAGGUACUUUUCCCCCUUUAAUUUUGGGUUAAUUUUUAUCAAACUACCAAAAAGGAACCUUUCUGAUGUGGAAGAUAGCACUUCACAAAAAAAAAAACUUGAAUUAUAGAUUCUUCGCUGUAACAAUUCACGGAAUAGCCCCCAGUUCGUUUUAAUAUUUGUAUACCUAAGCCAAUUAGAUAAUAAGGAAGGACAACCAAAAGAUAAUUUUGGCUGAAAUUGUUUACACUAAAGGAGCCAAUCUUUCCUAUAUCGUGACAAAGAAACAAAAAAUAUUGAAUUAGACUAUGCACAUAUGGUAUUUGAUGAUAUGCCUUGUCCAUUUUAUGUUAUUGUGUACUUACUGAUUCCUUUAAGCAUUUGCUUUCACUAUUCUGUUUCUUUUUUUUACGAAGUUCUUUUUUUUUUAUGAAGUUCUUUAUUUACACUUUUCUACAUUGAAUCUAAGAAAUGAUGACCUUUUUUUUAUUGAAACAUUUUGUAUAAUUCCCUUUCAUCGUUAUUGUUGUCUUUGAGUCAAAUGUUUUCAUGUUAUUUAUUUGAAAUUUCUUCUGUCUCUUUGAAAGUGUACGUGGAAGGUGAUGCCUCUACUAAUAGCUACCUCCUAACUGAUGUUUGAUAGGAUGGAACAAGAGAAAGCUCCAAGGAAGACACCAAACCCAGCCUAUGGUCGUUUGUUCACAUAAACGUAACAAAAUUAAAAAGUGGAAGUUGGAAAUAUGAGUGUCAACGAGAGGUAACUGACAAAAAGAUACUCUUUCAAGUAAGUCAGGAUAAACUUUUAAAAUAAUUCUUUUUACUUGAAAGCAAAAAGGGUAUGAUAAUUUAUUAUGUUACACUGUGGCCAUUUAGUAAAUCUGAUGGUGUGUUAAUGUGAAGCCUUUUUUCUGUUGUUAGAUUGUGAUGGUCCUAUUGAAUUUUAGGUACAUAGUAUAAGAUUUAUUCAACAGUCUCCCCUUCACAACAGGAAAUCCUAAGAAGAAUGUUAAGAAAUGUAAGGGUCACAGUUUCGGCCACCCUUGCUUCAGCUUACCGUCAACACAAAGUCAAGUUGAUUGCAUAAUUAAUGAAAUGAAAGAAGUGAAGUUAGGAUGCUUGUGGUGUUGAAUUAUAAUAUUUAGGGUUAAGUUGAUGGACUAGCGUUUUAGGAUAUUCAUAUGGAGACCAUCAAUUUGUCUUUGAUGGUUCUGUGACACUUUCAUCUGGAAGGUACUGUACAUGUUAAGUUUGAUGCUUUUUUUUAUUUAAAAAAGGGACUCAUUCAUUUCUUUAUAGGAUGUUGCAUAUGUAUACCUUUUCAAUGCCAGGUACUCUAUAAUUACAGUAUCUCAUGGAUUGUGGAUUCUUUUCCUCUAAUACAAUUUGAUGUGUUAUCUAAGUGAACUUCAUUAAUCCAAAUCAAACAUAUCUAACAUCAAUACAUGUGCACUUAGCAUUACUCAUACACAUUGAAUGAUAUUUUUUCCCUUUUCUUCUUAUGCAGCACUUACAUUAUAGGUAAUUAUUGCCUAUAUUGCAACAUAUGCAGAUAUAUGUAGGUAGUAAUAUCGCCUAUAUUGAUCAGUCUUGUUACUAACUUAUUCAUCUGAGUACCAACUUGGUUCUGGCAAACUUACUAAUUUCUCAUGUUUAUAUGCGGCUCUUGCCUUGAUCAUAAACAGAAGUAUGAACAAUCUGACCAUACUUUUUCUUUUGUUGAGAAAGAAUACUUUAUCAUCAAUAUUUGUUUAUCAAAUAAUAACCAUCUAUAAUAUUUAACAGAGGCAUGGUUACAUUGACAACGUAUGGUACUACUCACUAUAAAAUUAUUUAUGUGCAGUUGUUGCCUUGGUCGUGAACAGAAGUAUGAACAACCUAACUGUACUUUUUCUUUUGUGGAUAAAGAAUACUUUAUUAUCAAUAUUUGUGUAUCAAAUAAGAAACUUCUAUAGCAUUUAACUGGGGUAUGGUUACAAUGACAAUAUAUGGUACUACUCUCUAUAAAACUAUUUAUGUGCAGCUCUUGCUCUUGGUCGUGAACAGAAGUACAAACAAACUGUGUACUUUUUCUUUUGUUGAGAAAGCAUCAAUAUUUGUGUAUCAAAUAAGAAUCUUCUAUGGCAUUUAACAGAGACAUGGUUACACUGACAAUAUAUAGUAAUACUCACUAAAACUACGUUUCUACUAAACUUCUAUCUUUGUAAACUAAGUUACUGGAUAACUAAUGAAGACAUUUUGUGCAUUGCUGAUAAAAUGUUGCGGAUUUUAUGCAAUACCUCUUCCUACAACAGAACUUCAUAGAAUAAUCUGGAAAAAGGAUAAUGAUGGCAACUACUCUGUCAGCUCUUGCUAUAAGCUUUGAACCUUAAGCCAUCCUCUCACACAACUGGCAAUUGAACUUAUAUGGAAAAGUAUAUAGUCUCUUUACUUCUAGCCCUCCUCUCCAUAGUUAUUGGUUUUAUUUGAACAACAUUGUCUAAUGAUUGUCUGACAAAAGGUUACACCUUAUGUAAUAGAUUUUAACUUUGCUCCAGUAACUCAGAAGACAUAAGUUUUUCUUUGCAUUGUCCCAUAGCUACUUAAGAAUGCAAGUGUUCUAUCUAUGUUUGUAGUUAAAUGGAAUCAUGCAUGGUGAUCUAAGAGGCGCUACCAACAGCUUUCGGAAGGAAGAUAGGAACACAAGGCCGUUUCAAAUACGGUACCUGCUUGAAUAAUAUGGGCAAGCUAAAAGAAAGAAACUCCUGAUGUUCUGAAGAUGCAUCUGCAAUAUACACACGAGAAUGCAAAUACAGAUUUGAAGAUGCAUCUGCGAUAUACACACGAGAGCGCAAAUGUUUGCACCUUUUAACUUUUAGACUAACUUACAAGAUGUAUAUGACUUACUACAUAACAUUUGGUGUUAAUUAAUAAAGUUGAUCACUUAUACUA